rnacentral:rRNA from 1 species
UGGGGAAUUUUGGACAAUGGGCGAAAGCCUGAUCCAGCAAUGCCGCGUGUGUGAAGAAGGCCUUCGGGUUGUAAAGCACUUUUGUCCGGAAAGAAAUCCUUGGCUCUAAUACAGUCGGGGGAUGACGGUACCGGAAGAAUAAGCACCGGCUAACUACGUGCCAGCAGCCGCGGUAAUACGUAGGGUGCAAGCGUUAAUCGGAAUUACUGGGCGUAAAGCGUGCGCAGGCGGUUUGCUAAGACCGAUGUGAAAUCCCCGGGCUCAACCUGGGAACUGCAUUGGUGACUGGCAGGCUAGAGUAUGGCAGAGGGGGUAGAAUUCCACGUGUAGCAGUGAAAUGCGUAGAGAUGUGGAGGAAUACCGAUGGCGAAGGCAGCCCCCUGGGCCAAUACUGACGCUCAUGCACGAAAGCGUGGGGAGCAAACAGGAUUAGAUACCCUGGUAGUCCACGCCCUAAACGAUGUCAACUAGUUGUUGGGGAUUCAUUUCCUUAGUAACGUAGCUAACGCGUGAAGUUGACCGCCU